rfam:Astyanax mexicanus chromosome 20, whole genome shotgun sequence.
GUACUUCAUUAGUGUAAGUCGCUUUGGACAAAAGCGUCUGCCAAAUGAAAUGUA